rnacentral:rRNA from 1 species
UGGGGAAUCUUCCGCAAUGGACGAAAGUCUGACGGAGCAACGCCGCGUGAGUGAAGAAGGUUUUCGGAUCGUAAAACUCUGUCUUUUGGGGCGAACGUGAGUAUGGUGAACAAUCAUAGUCAGUGACGGUACCAAAGGAGGAAGCCACGGCUAACUACGUGCCAGCAGCCGCGGUAAUACGUAGGUGGCAAGCGUUGUCCGGAAUUAUUGGGCGUAAAGGGCGCGUAGGCGGGAUAGUCAGUCUGUUGUAAAGUGCGGGGCUCAACCCCGUGAUGGCAAUGGAAACAGCUAUUCUUGAGUGCAGGAGAGGAAAGUGGAAUUCCCAGUGUAGCGGUGAAAUGCGUAGAUAUUGGGAGGAACACCAGUGGCGAAGGCGACUUUCUGGACUGUGUCUGACGCUGAGGCGCGAAAGCCAGGGGAGCGAACGGGAUUAGAUACCCCCGGUAGUCCUGGCCGUAAACGAUGGGUACUAGGUGUGGGAGGUAUCGACCCCUUCCGUGCCGGAGUUAACGCAAUAAGUACCCCGCCUGGGGAGUACGGUCGCAAGACUGAAACUUAAAUGAAUUGACGGGGGUCAUAGCUGUUUCCUG